rnacentral:rRNA from 1 species
UGAUGACGAGACGCUAAGGCGUUGAAGCAGUGUAUGUCAGACUUCCAAGAAAAGCUCGCAAUGUCACAAAUAAAAAUGCCUGUCCCAUAACCGACACAGGUGGGUAGGUAGAGUAUACUAAGGGGCGCGAGAUAACUCUCUCUAAGGAACUCGGCAAAAUGACUCCGUAACUUCGGGAGAAGGAGUGCCUUAUUUAUAAGGUUGCAAUAACAAGAUCCAAGCAACUGUUUAUCAAAAACACAGGUCUCCGCUAAGUCGUAAGACGAUGUAUGGGGGCUGACGCCUGCCCAGUGCCAGAAGGUUAAAGAAGUUGGUUAGUGUAUGCGAAGCUGAUGACUGAAGCCCUGGUGAACGGCGGCCGUAACAAUAACGGUCCUAAGGUAGCGAAAUUCCUUGUCGGGUAAGUUCCGACCCGCACGAAAGGCGUAAUGAUUUGGAUACUGUCUCGGAGAGAGGCUCGGUGAAAUAGACUUGUCUGUGAAGAUGCGGACUACCUGCACCAGGACAGAAAGACCCUAUGAAGCUUUGCUGUAACUUGAAAUUGGAAUUGGACUUUGCUUGCGCAGUAUAGGUGGGAAGCGUUGAAAAUAUUCUUGCGGGGGUAUUGGAGCUAUCAGUGAGAUACCACUCUUGUAAUGUUAGAUUUCUAACUUUGAACCAUAAUCUGGUCAAAGAACAGUUUCAGGUGGGCAGUUUGACUGGGGCGGUCGCCUCCCAAAUGGUAACGGAGGCGUACAAAGGUUUCCUCUGAACGGAUAGAAAUCGUAUCUAGAGUGUAAAGGCAUAAGGAAGCUUGACUGUGAGACCUACAAGUCGAGCAGGGACGAAAGUCGGUCUUAGUGAUCUGACGGUACUGAGUGGAAAGGCCGUCACUCAACGGAUAAAAGUUACUCUAGGAUAACAGGCUGAUCUCCCCCAAGAGUUCACAUCGACGGGGAGGUUUGGCACCUCGAUGUCGGCUCAUCGCAUCCUGGGGCGGUAGUACGUCCCAAGGGUUGGGCUGUUCGCCCAUGAAAGCGGUACGCGAGCUGGGUUCAGAACGUCGUGAGACAGUUCGGUCCAUAUCCGGUGUAGGCGCUAGAAUAUUGAGAGGAGCCUUCUUUAGUACGAGAGGACCGAGAAGGACACACCGCUGGUGUACCAGUUAUCGUGCCAACGGUAAACGCUGGGUAGCUAUGUGUGGAGUGGAUAACCGCUGAAAGCAUCUAAGUGGGAAGCCCACCUCGAGAUGAGUAUUCGC